CCUACGGGUGACAGCAGUGAGGAAUAUUGGUCAAUGGGCUUACGCCUGAACCAGCCAAGUCGCGUGAGGGAAGACUGCCCUAUGGGUUGUAAACCUCUUUUUUCAGGGAGCAACGCCGGCUACGUGUCACCGGACUGAGAGUACCUGAAGAAACAGCAUCGGCUCACUCCGUGCCAGCAGCCGCGGUAAUACGGAGGAUGCGAGCGUUAUCCGGAUUUAUUGGGUUUAAAGGGUGCGCAGGCGGAAUGCCAAGUCAGCGGUAAAAGCGCGGGGCUCAACCUCGCUCCGCCGUUGAAACUGGCUGUCUUGAGUGGGCGAGAAGUAUGCGGAAUGCGGGGUGUAGCGGUGAAAUGCAUAGAUAUCACGCAGAACUCCGAUUGCGAAGGCAGCAUACCGGCGCCCAACUGACGCUGAAGCACGAAAGCGUGGGUAUCGAACAGGAUUAGAUACCCGGGUAGUC
rnacentral:rRNA from 1 species